rnacentral:rRNA from 1 species
UACAGAGGGGGCAAGCGUUGUUCGGAAUUACUGGGCGUAAAGCGUGCGUAGGUGGUUCGUUAAGUCUGAUGUGAAAGCCCUGGGCUCAACCUGGGAAUGGCAUUGGAUACUGGCGAUCUAGAGUGCGGUAGAGGGCAGUGGAAUUCCCGGUGUAGCAGUGAAAUGCGUAGAGAUCGGGAGGAACAUCUGUGGCGAAGGCGACUGCCUGGACCAGCACUGACACUGAGGCACGAAAGCGUGGGGAGCAAACAGG